rnacentral:lncRNA from 1 species
AAGGUUUGUCUCUAUAGCAAGGAUCUUAACUUUCCACAGUAAGAUCUUCAGCAAACUGUACCAUCUCCUUCCCACUUUACCUUCUAGAACUCCACCCCUCAUUCUAUGCUCUAGCCACCUGGAACUAUUCGCUAGACCUCAGAUAUUCCAUGUCAUUUUGCCUCGAUGUCUUCACUUGAUACACUUCUACUCAUCAUUUAAGAUCCAACUCGAAUAUCAAGUUCACUGUGGCACAGAAUUGGUCAAUCCAACCUCUGUGAUUGGGUAAACUUUGCUCAUAAUAUUUCUCAUGGAACUUCUCAUAUUGGGCAGUAAUUGUUUUUAUUUCCCUGCAGAAAGAUUUUCAGUUUUCUGAUGACAGACUAUACCUAUUUAAAUUUCUUUUCCUUUUUAACAUCCUUGCUCUAUCUAAUCCUAGUACUUAGCAAAAUGCCUGGGACAUAGUAGUAAUUCAGAAGUAUGUUCUCACAGCUCCUUGCACUUGUGCUUUAUAAUCUGUGGUGAUAUACUAUACAAACACACACACACACACACACCUAUAUGUAACAUAUAUCUGUCUACUGUAUUGAGGACAGAGAUCUGAAUUUUUUGCUCUCCACUGUACCCCAGUUUUUAGCAUAGCACCUAGCAUAUGGAAAAUACUCAGAACAUAUCUGUUAAAUGUACACUAAAGUAAAUUAGGUAAGGCUGAAUCUAUAUGAGGCAACUAUUUGAGAGAUAUUAUUAAUCAAAGAUAGCUUGGGGAUUUGCCAUAUUUAAUAGAGAUCUGGGGGGUGCCUGACUGGCUCAGUCAGUAGAGCAUGCAACUAUUAAUCUCAAGGUCCUAAGUUUGAGCCCCUCGUUGGGCACAGAGGCUACUUAAAAUUUUUUUUAAAAAUAAUUAAAUAGAGAUUUGAGAGACCUUUCUUCUAGAGCCACCCAAAUGUGGUAGUUAGAUGAGGAUCUAUUAGGAAGCUCAGGGAAACUCUGCCAGUCUCGCGGCAUAAUAGCUUUUGAAACAAUGAUGGUCACAACAUAGAAUAAAAGUUGCUGCCUCAUUCAUUCAUUCAAACAAACAUUUACUGAACACCUACCUUGUGCCAGGUUCUUCUGGAGACAUUAAAGAUUCCACAUUAAGAUACUCCCAUCCCUAGUCAUAUACCUUCCGCUUGGAAAUAAAACAUGAUACACUAAUGCUAUGCAAAAAAUUUAAAAAUUACCAAGAAACCUGUCUGAUGGCCCCUCCCUAUGACGAUUCUACUUGCUACGGGGGAAGAGAUGGAUAAAUCAUAAAUCGAAUUAACCUAGGAAUAUAUUUUAUAUAUUUUGAGAACCUAGCAUCCCAUUGUUUUCACUUUUAUAAAGUAUUUUUAAAAGGAGACUAGAUUAAGUGGCCCUGUGAGAGAAAACUACACACCGGUGUAGCAUCGCAAUGAGGGAAGGAGCCAGGGAGAGGUAGAAUGAUUUAUGUUCACAGGCCACAUAAGCAUUCCAGAUGGCCCCAAAUUUGUCAUUCAGCACCCAUUUGACAUCAUUCGCCAUACAUUCACAUACCAUGAUCACACAGCCAUGUACUGGGUACCAAGGCAUGACAGAAGCUAGGUCCAGAUGAUCAAAGUGAAUCCAUCACAUCCCAGAAACAUUCCGCCUGUCUCUGGAUACAACAGAAACUCUGUUAUUCUACUGGGGGAAUAAAAUGAUCUAUUUAGUCAAAUCAAACAAGUAAGAAAUUUUCACACUUGCUUGACCUCUAACUAGGACAGUGAUGAUCUGGCUUUUCGUGGCACUUGUCAGGCUGCACCUCAAUAAAAUGUUGCUCCCCAUUCUGCAUGCCACUCUGUAAUAUAGAAGUAGCUAAAUUGGAGCAGGUUAGAGGAAUGCCAGGCAACUAAAUCAUGUCAUAUAUAAAUGGUUGAAUACAGAAGGGAUAUUUUUCAAAUAUGUGAAAGGCUGGCACAUAUUAGAAUUAGAUUUUGUUCUCUGUGACCCCAAAAGGUACAAGGAGGAUCAGCAGAUGAAAGUAAUAGGAAGAAAGAUUACAGCAUCACAACUCUAUAGAAUAACCUACCAAAGAUAGCAUGGAUCAGCCAGCCUUGGAGAAAGAGAGAUCUCUACUGUGAAAACUAAGACAGUCACUUGACACAGAUUCUGCAAAGGAGACAGAAGGAUCAGAGAAGGUGAUUUUGCUAGAUUAUUUUCCAGUUAUUGUCCAAAUACGGAAGCCCAUUUUAAAAAGUACAGCAAACGACUAAAGAGAAUCUUAAAAUGCACUCAUCAGACAAUGACAUGGGUGAGCAGUGGUGGUUCUCAUUUAUGUUGUUUCUCCUAACAAAAGUGUUCCCCCUAUUUCUAGCCAGCAGUGACUUGUUUGAAUCUCACUUGGCUCCAGACACCUCAGAUACAAAUCUCAGUGGGCAAGAAGAUGGGAAUAGAGGCCAGAGGGCAAACCACAAAUCUGAACAAUCUACAUCUAUGGAAAAAAAAUCACCCAAGAAUGAUUAAGAACUGAGCAAAAUAAAAUUGCGGGGGAGGGGGGGGCUGCUUCUAUUAAAAUC